CACACAUUUAUCUGACAAAAUACUUGCAUGGAGAAUACAUAAAGAACUCUUAUACUACUAUAAUAUCAAGAAAAACAGCCCAGUUUUUUAAAAAGGCAAAAUAUUUUAACACAUAUUUUACAAAAAAAAUGUGCAAACAAACAAUAAAUCCAUAAAGAGAUGUUCAACAUUGCUCAUCAGGGAAGUACAAAUUACAAUCACAGUGACAUAUCACUACAUACUCACUACAAUGUCUCAAAUUAAAAAGACCAGUACUACCAAGUGUUGAAAACUAUGUGAGCAACUGCAACUCUCAUACAUUUCUGAUGGGAUUGAAAAAUGGAGAGGGAGGAAAGUUGGUAGUUUCUUAUGAAGCUAAACAUGUACUUGUCAUUGACCAGGAAUCUCACUCCUAGGUAUGCACUCAAGAGGAAUAAAAAUAUAUGUCCACACAUGCCUACUUGCAAAUGUUCAUAAGAGUUUCAGUGUUAGUAGCCGAACAUUAAAAUAUGAAAUGUACAACAGCUAGUGAAUAAACACAUAAUACCACAGAGUAGAUUAUGGUAUAGAUAUACUGUGAAAUGUUAACAAUAGAAAGAAAUGAACUAUUGAUACAUGCAAAAAUAUGGAUAAAUAUCUAAAGUAUUAUGAUAAAUGAAAGAAGCCACAAACAAAAUAAUAUAAUCUAUGAUAACAUUAAUACAAAGUCUAGAAAAGACAAAAGUACAGUAACAGAAAGCAGAUCAAUGGCUGCUUAAGCCCAGGAAUUGGGAGAGAAAUUUGUCUGCAAAGGAUUAUAAGAAAUCAUUUUUGAAUGUGUGUGGGUUGGGGAAGGGGAGAGUAUAAUUUGACGUUUUAGUCCCCUUGUCUCUGGAUUAAAAGAAGUCACACAGAAGAAGCUACAGCCUUAUCUAUGAGGAGUUUGGCUUCCGGUUAAAAUCUAUGUGCGAUUUUUCAGGUCUGGCUGUGGUCAAUUACAAAGGCUUUAACUGAUAGGUCUUGUGGAAAAAAGCUGCCCUCUCCACAUCAUACUUAGUGCAGACUAGUGCAUUACAUCACUAAGGAGAGUUGCAGUCAAGGACUCGGGAUCCUCUGUUCAGUCAUGCUUUUACAUACUUUAGCAUUUUUAGCCAAGGAACCUUCAUUCCUACAAGUCUUUCUGGGGUCUUCAGCCAAGGUUGUCUUCAAGUACGUCUACCAAGGCCUGUUUAUCGGGGGAAGGAGCGGGAAACUUUGAAGACAUUUUUCCUCAGUCCAACUCAGUGCUCAUUUUUUUUUUCCACUCCUAGCCUGACUUCCUCCUCCAAGCCCCUGAGUCCAUAAAACUACAGAAUCCUUCUGUUCAGGAUGCUCUCAACAGUGAGAUGACCCCACAUUUGUGCAUAUCCACCUGACCCUUGACCAGUGCACCAUUCCAUGGGAGAAAAUGGAAAAGGGGAAGUUGGCACUCCUUCCACUUUAGACUCUUGCUUUAUGGUUACCUUCAUUUUUGGCUUUUUGCUUUAUUCAGCUGCUCCAAAACAUGGCAGCUCAUUCCUCCCCCUCUCUCUCUAGCUCAGCUGAGCUCCUGACAAUCCACAUCCAGGCCAAAUUCAGUUUUCAUAUCCCUCAAUUUUGGGCCUGAUGUAUUAGAAGGAAGAGACUUAUGAGAAGGGAUAAAUGUAUUUGCCUGUGAGAAGGAUAAGAAAAAUUGUAGACAGAGGGAAGGCUGUUUGCAAAGACAGAAAUAAUAAUGCUUCACAUCCCUGUAUCUCUGUAAUGUGACUUUGCCACUCUUUCCACCAAAGGUUGGAUUUAAUAUUUUGUCUUGGAAUCUGAUCUAGCUUUGUGUCUUGUUUUGAGCAACAGAAUUCAGCAGAAGAUGGAGUUGUGAGCCUAGGCCUCAAAAGACCUUGCAGCUGGCACUUCUGCCCUCCUGAAUUUUUGACAACUGAUCUGAGGCUCUAUUCUAAGUCUAAUAAGGGAAAUUUCCUGGUCUUUCCUGGUAGAGACUGAGCAGGGAGAAGUGAAAGGGGGAAAAGUAGCAAAGAGAAAGGGAAAAACUGGGUCAUUCGACAAUCACAAUGAACUUGAAGAUGUUUUAGUUAAUGUGGAUGCAAAGGAUGCUGGGCUGAGGAUGACUGAUCAGAGCUCAGGCUUGCAAGACGUAAGGUAAUACUGGUCAUAAUUUAUGGCCCAGAAAUCCAAGGCAGGUAAAUAGAAGAACAGAUGGUAGGACAAGGACCAAAGCAGGAACCUAUAAAAUAAUCAAACUCAAGCUUCAUUACUGGAGCUGAUAGCCAAAUGCAGUCGUGUCCUUGGUGAUUGUGGGCUAGGAGUUGAGCAAUCUGUAAGUGGAGGCUAAUGACCCAGGAAGCCAAGGAGUGCUGCAGUUGAUGUGGUGCUGUUCACUUCAGCAAUAGCAAAAUCGCUUUCCUGCAAGCCAUGUUGUACUGAUAAUACUUGUGAGUGAUUCCAUCCUUUUAACCAGGCUACACAGUCAUGUGACCAGUGCAAAAAAAGAGUGAGAAUGAUAAUUGAGAAGAGCUUGAAUUUUUCUCAGAGGGGACUUGGCAUCUCUAGUGAUCCAGCUGCUUCAGACUGUAAAGAGCAGUGAACUGUCACUUUUCAUUUCUAGUCAUUCAAAGGACCAGUCACUUGCAGGGCUGCCCAGCAUCUUUUCCUCACCAAAUUCUUAGUGAUUGCCAAAUGAACCUUGACCCUUUCACCUUCUGAUGCUUUAUGCUUAGAAGUAUUCCGUCUGCCAAGUAAGGUAUGUUAGCCACCAUUUCAAAACUAUGACCUCAAGAGUCAAAGUGAUUUGAUCUAAGUGACUUAGUUGAAAAGGUUGAAGGAAUAUCGAACUGAUAUCCAUUACUGUGUGACUUUACCACAGUGCCUGGGCUGACUUUUGUCACAAAUCAGUGUCUGCUCUGCACAUCCAACAGACUUUGUUCCAGGCCAUUAUAUGUUCUUCCCAUGAUCACAAGAUCCCAUAAUAGGCCAUCUGCAAGCUGUGGAGCAAAGAAGCCAGUCCAAGUCCCAAAGCUGAAGAACUUAGAGUCUGAUGUUUGAGGGUAGGAAGCUUCCAGCAUGGGAGAAGAAUGUAGGCUGGGAAGCUAAGCCAGUCUAUCCUUUUCA
rnacentral:lncRNA from 1 species